AGGAGUGGCACAAACUUUACCCCAGCAGGAACCCAGCAUUUCCAGACGCUAACUACAGAUUCUGUCCCUCAAGUGAGAUGCCCGUUAUAGCUCAGCCAAAAGCCAUUUUUAGUAUCCUCCUCUUCAAAGCUGCCUCACUGAGCUGGUUAAGUGCUGGGAUAUGAGGAACUGACCAUGCUAAGAUGGACUUCUGUGUUAAAUCUUUCAGAGCUGGCAAAUUUAGAAUAACCUGAAGAGCCAUGUUAUAUCUGUACUCCUUAUCAAAGAAGCGUCAGGGUAAAGAGUUAACGCCGGAGUUGGGUUUUGCUGGAGGGCUGAAUUAUUUAAUUGUUAGCUAUUCCGAGUUCCACAGUGAAGUAGAAGUAACAGAAUUAUCUGCCUCUCAGUGUAAGACCAUCUUCCCAGAAGGUCAGAGGGCAUUGGCAGCCUUGUGUUUAUUUGCUGGAUGUUCUGGGAUUUACAGUGCAGUGUGCACUGCUUUUGAGAAGUCAGCCAUGCAAGUACAUUCUACACAGUUGUGAAUAGUAGGUUGGGUAUAUGCUUACCCAUAAAGUGUCAAACUUGAGACCUACUCCUUUAGUUCUAGCCUGGAAACUAUAGCUAUGGGAAUACAGGGCCGUAUUCUGAGCUGAGCUUUGGCCUAGACCUACUUGGGCAAGUUAUAACUUCUUAGUGCCACACUUUGCCCAUCUGUAUGGGAGAAUAGUAACAACCCUCCAUCACAGGGUUGCCGAGAGACAGAGUCAGCUUGGACCAGAGUAAGGGCAGAGACAAGGGUAACCACUCUUGUUCUCACUCACGGGGAGAUGGAAAGAAACGACUCAAAAUUUCCACCGGCAGGCAUUUUAUAUCUUUAAAAAUAACUGUCAGAGUCGACAGUUUGAAAUUGAUGGUGAUCUUAAAUAAAAUUAAUGAAGCCUGCCGUGAAGUAACACCAGCCAUCAGUGUGUUUUUGAAACAGCGAAUUCAAAACGAUGAAAACCCUUUUACUCCAACAAAGAACUUGGCCUCCUCUGGAAGCUUGCUAUGUGUCAGGCAUAUGUAAUGGCGUUGAGCCUCGCUUCACCCUGGCACUGCCAUCUGCAUACUGUAAGAGAGGCAGAAGCUCUAAGGAGCAGUAGCUUUAGUAAGUAACAUGGUAAAGAUACAAGUCAGACAUCUCUGAACUCCCUCUCUGACUAAUCCCCAACAGUAUCCCUUCUAUCUUACUUCAAGCCUUGGCUUCCUUUUUGGCUUUUCUGAUACUGCCCUUGAUAUCCUAAUAGAGCCUCCUGGACCCAAAGGGAUUUGGCAGGAACUGUGGCAACAUGUGGUCUCCUGAUAUGGAUUUUUUCUCCGAUAGUAGCUAAGCAUGGGACCUCUUGUUCAUCUGUCAAUGUCCUGUGACUCACUUUGUGGUCCUACAACAAUGAGAACAUGUUGGAAAGGCUGGAGAAACUGUUAGAAGAUUUACAGUAAAAUUGUGAACACACA
rnacentral:lncRNA from 1 species